rnacentral:lncRNA from 1 species
AUGCGCGACAGCGCCCGGCUGGCUGCCGACCCGGCCAUCCUUGGCCACCAUGUAGGCCCCGGGUCAGGUGCCACAUCCCGCGGAGCUGCCCCUGACCCCACCCCCAGGUGGAUCCAUGGGGGGCUACAGGGCAGAGAACAUCCCUGCCCAUGGGCCCGGAGCCUGCCCUGCCGACCAGGAGCUUCCUGGGGCUCAGGCUCACGGCUGCACCCUGCGGCUCGUUCUGUAAACACACACGUCACACUUUCAUCCCUUAGGUGGAAGGAUGCAGCCGGAAACCUCGGUCCUGGGGUUCGCACCCGGCUCGUCCCCCUGGACACAGCUGAGCACAGACUCAGGGUCGCACUGUCCCUUUUUAUUUCUCGAUGCCACGCACAGACCUGUCGCAGGAGGUGUAACUUUUUCUGGGACCGUAACGUGUGCAGGACAGGGUCACCGUGCGGCCUGCUGCGCCGGCUCUUGGCGCCCGAGCCUGCGUCCUUGGAACGCUCUGCGUGGACAGUGCCUCCACGGAGGCCUUGGGCCGCGUGUGGCCGGCGGUGGCUUACGGUGGACACCUGCCCCGCUGUGGGGGAGGGGCCGGAGCCCGGGCCGAGAGCAGCCGCGCGGGCCCUGCCUGCCCCAGAGCCGAGCCCUCACCUUGGUGCCCCAGGCCUGGGCACCUUGUCGCCGGCAGAUGACGGCGGUCUCUGUGACGGCGCCGACGGGACACCCAGGGGCCUGCGCCCGGUUUCUCCUGGACCCGGCCCACGGGCCCGUCCCUUCCCGACCCUACGCUGUGUCCACUUACUGCAGAGAAGCUCCAACCGGGGCUGCAGGCCUUCGGAGCCCGUGAGGCCUGCGCCACCACCCUGGGGCCGCGCCGCCCGCUCGCGCUCAGGAGCCGUCAUCGGGCACAGGCAUGUGACACCAAGUGAUUACGGAGACCACAGAGGGCGCCGCCCGGAAGGCGUUUGGGGCCGAACGCAAUGGGUUGCACGUUGCGGGGACUCUGCCUCGAGCCAGAACGGGCAGCAGGGAACACACGCUCGCUUUGUUGCUUUGGCACAAAACGGAUCUCCCUGUUCCCAAGGGAAGGAAAUGAGGUGA